UACGGAGGGUGCAAGCGUUAAUCGGAAUUACUGGGCGUAAAGCGCGCGUAGGCGGCUUUGUAAGUCAGAUGUGAAAGCCCCGGGCUCAACCUGGGAACGGCAUCUGAUACUGCAUCGCUAGAGUCUGAUAGAGGGUGGCGGAAUUCCAGGUGUAGCGGUGAAAUGCGUAGAUAUCUGGAAGAACACCAGUGGCGAAGGCGGCCACCUGGAUCAAGACUGACGCUGAGGUGCGAAAGCGUGGGUAGCGAACAGG
rnacentral:rRNA from 1 species